rnacentral:sRNA from 1 species
UUGCGCCUGCGGCGGAUCAGGCAUAAGCUUUACAGUGCUUCGCAGGCAGCCGCUUAUGUACGGUCUUGUAAAUCCAAGAAAUUUUCUUGGAUUUAAAUUCUUC